rnacentral:lncRNA from 1 species
GGCUUACGCGUGGGAUAGCCUCUACGAGCUUAUGCGUAGGAUAGCCUCCACGGGCUUACGCGUGGGAUAGCUGCCACGAGCUUAUGCGUGGGAUUUGUGCAAUCUUGGACUGGGAUAUGAAUUUGGUUAGUCCAAAGCCAGAAGUGAAAAGUCUUAAAACUUGGGGAUCAGAGUAAUACGAAAGUGAAUCACAUAAUGUAUAAAGAGGAUUUAUGUAUAUGUACUGGUUAUAUAUACUUGUUGUUUGUUGAGCUUUUGAAAUGAUGAAAUGACAUUUAUUUGUUACUUUGAUGAUUUUACCAUUAUUACUGUGUGUGGCUGUUGGAAUUCUUACUGGG